rnacentral:rRNA from 1 species
UACGUAGGGUGCAAGCGUUGUCCGGAAUUAUUGGGCGUAAAGAGCUCGUAGGCGGUUUGUCACGUCUGCUGUGAAAUCCCGAGGCUCAACCUCGGGCUUGCAGUGGGUACGGGCAGACUAGAGUGCGGUAGGGGAGAAUGGAAUUCCUGGUGUAGCGGUGGAAUGCGCAGAUAUCAGGAGGAACACCGAUGGCGAAGGCAGUUCUCUGGGCCGUAACUGACGCUGAGGAGCGAAAGCGUGGGGAGCGAACAGG